AAAGUCGUAACAAGGUUUCCGUAGGUGAACCUGCGGAAGGAUCAUUAUCACGUUAUCCACGUAUCAACCAUUGUGAACCGUUUUUUACCUUUUGUCGAGAGUGAGGUUGCGGGAGAUGAGCUGGCUCGUUUAAUGAUUUUUGAGCUACACAAAGGCUUAUCUCUCCCAUGGAACUUAUCAAGCAAUUGAUGAGUACAUACUCGUUCACUUCAAAUUGUAUUUUUUCUAAAUCAUUGUUUAAACAAUUUUAACCACUUUGAACAUUGUCUUAUCUUUUUCAUACUCUUAACGGAGAUGAAAUUCAUUACGAAACAGAGAACAACUCUUAGCAACGGAUAUCUUGGUUCUC
rnacentral:misc_RNA from 1 species